rnacentral:lncRNA from 1 species
UCUCAUAUAUACAUAUUUAUGAUUUGAAGGAAGCAAUUGAUUUAGACACAAGUGAAAGUCUGUUAUGAGGACUUCUGAAAUAUCUGCAGUGAACUUCCAGCUUUAUUCUAAAGCACAAAGUGAUUAAUCACAAUUUACAUGUUGUAAUGUUUUUAUUACAAACACUUGGCUACAUCUCAGUAACUUCAUCUAAAUAAACACUUUUAUCCUUUGUGUGGUGACUUUUCAAAGAGAGACAGAAAGAGAGACACUCAGUUUACUGAAGAAAAGUUGUGCAUGUAGGUGGUGGCUCCUGUGACGAUAACCUGUGACCGUACCCCCUCCAGUGAGCUGUGGUGGAUGGUCAUGUUCCCAGUGCACAGCUACAGUGAGGAUUUUCCAACAGUCAAUCAAAAUGUGUGCUCAACCCCCCAAAAAACUGAGUAGAGAAACUUUCUCAUUGACAGCAAAACAUGUGGAUAAC